rnacentral:rRNA from 1 species
AUUGAACGCUGGCGGCAUGCUUUACACAUGCAAGUCGAACGGUAACAGGGAGCUUGCUCCGCUGACGAGUGGCGAACGGGUGAGUAAUGCGUCGGAACGUGCCGAGUAGUGGGGGAUAACGCAUCGAAAGGUGUACUAAUACCGCAUACGUACUGAGGUAGAAAGUGGGGGACCUUCGGGCCUCACGCUAUUCGAGCGGCCGACGUCUGAUUAGCUAGUUGGUGAGGUAAAGGCUCACCAAGGCGACGAUCAGUAGCGGGUCUGAGAGGAUGGUCCGCCACACGGGGACUGAGACACGGCCCAGACUCCUACGGGAGGCAGCAGUGGGGAAUUUUGGACAAUGGGCGCAAGCCUGAUCCAGCCAUGCCGCGUGUCUGAAGAAGGCCUUCGGGUUGUAAAGGACUUUUGUCCGGGAGCAAAUGCCUGGUGUUAAUAGCACUGGGAGCUGAGAGUACCGGAAGAAUAAGCACCGGCUAACUACGUGCCAGCAGCCGCCGUAACAC